rnacentral:lncRNA from 1 species
GCGGCGAACUGGCCUCACGAGCUUCUUCCCCGUAUCAAGCUGUCGAACCUUUCGCUUUCCACUGCCGCUUUCGUCGGAGCCAGCCGCCGUCAAGGGGAGAGAUUCUGAUCACUCUCCUCUGAACGGGGUUUUCGCCGGCGGAGGAUGAUAUGAGAUGGGACGAGAAUAGGGCCGACAGGUGAUACUGCCCACCGGAGCUAGGAGUAAUCCCAGUAUCGUCGACAGGUUUUAUCUGGGCCCGAGAGACGGAAACUGAGCCCAAGGCAGAGGAGCAGAGGGCACUGUCGUCGUAGAUGAAUUUUCGGUUAUCAAUGCCUGCCUAAUCAAGUGUUUUUUUUUGUUGUCUUCUUCAGCUGCCAGAUCACUGGCUGUUCGAUCACCACGGAUGCCACCUCAGCUGGAGGAUAGAAGACGCAGAGGGCCCCCCACACCAUUUAUUUCUCAGGGCCUCCGUAUCUUCGUCGGCUAGGGGAAACGAGUCCGUAAAAUCUCGGAGGGUGGAGCUGCCGUGACUACGUGAAUGCAAGCAAC